GAUGAACGCUGGCGGCGUGCUUAACACAUGCAAGUCGAACGAAGCACUCUACUUGAUUUCCUUCGGGAUUGAUUGUUCUGUGACUGAGUGGCGGACGGGUGAGUAACGCGUGGAUAACCUGCCUCACACAGGGGGAUAACAGUUGGAAACGGCUGCUAAUACCGCAUAAGCGCACAGCACCGCAUGGUGCAGUGUGAAAAACUCCGGUGGUGUGAGAUGGAUCCGCGUCUGAUUAGCUUGUUGGCGGGGUAACGGCCCACCAAGGCGACGAUCAGUAGCCGGCCUGAGAGGGCGACCGGCCACAUUGGGACUGAGACACGGCCCAGACUCCUACGGGAGGCAGCAGUGGGGAAUAUUGCACAAUGGGGGAAACCCUGAUGCAGCGACGCCGCGUGAGCGAUGAAGUAUUUCGGUAUGUAAAGCUCUAUCAGCAGGGAAGAUAAUGACGGU
rnacentral:rRNA from 1 species